AUUGAACGCUGGCGGCAGGCCUAACACAUGCAAGUCGAGCGAGCGGCGGACGGGUGAGUAAUGUCUGGGAAUCUGCCCGCUCGAGGGGAAUAACUACUGGAAACGGUUGCUAAUACCGCAUACUAUCGGAUGUGCCCAUAUGGGAUUAGCUAGUAGGUGGGGUAAGGGCUCACCUAGGCGACGAUCCCUAGCUGGGCUGAGAGGAUGAUCAGCAAAACGGGAACUGAGACACGGUCCAGACUCCUACGGGAGGCAGCAGUGGGGAAUAUUGCACAAUGGGCGCAAGCCUGAUGCAGCCAUGCCGCGUGUAGGAAGAAGGCCUUAGGGUUGUAAAGUACUUUCAGCGGGGAGGCGUUACCCGCAGAAGAAGCACCGGCUAACUCCGUGCCAGCAGCCGCGGUAAUAC
rnacentral:rRNA from 1 species